UGUAACCACAGUUGCCCCCUUAUUUUUGUUUUGCAUUGAUAAAUCUCAGUUUUUAAUAUUUACGAGUAUAUGCAUCCAUCAUAAAGCAUAAAAAAAACACUGUCAUUAAUAGAUUAUCAUUUGAUUAAGAGAGCCAAGGAAAGUGAAUAGAGAGUGUAGUAGUAUGGUAAUUAGAGAAUCUGGAAAAGAUCACCAACACACAUUCCAAGACUGGGAGUCUGAGGAGAAGAAACACAUUUUCUAAAGGAAACGAGAUUUCUAAGAUUUUCUGUCCUGCAGUUGAAAAAAGGUCAUGUGUCCAUCUUGAUCUUAUCUUGGUAAG